rnacentral:rRNA from 1 species
UCCGUAGGCGGUGUGGCAAGUCGGGAGUGAAAUCUCUGGGCUUAACCCAGAGGCUGCUUCCGAAACUGCCGUGCUAGAGUGUGAGAGAGGCGAGUGGAAUUGCGGGUGUAGCGGUGAAAUGCGUAGAUAUCCGCAGGAACAUCCGAGGCGAAAGCGGCUCGCUGGAUCACAACUGACGCUGAGGGCGAAAGCUAGGGGAGCAAACA